rnacentral:rRNA from 1 species
AUAGCGUAUAUUAAAGUUGUUGCAGUUAAAAAGCUCGUAGUUGAAUUUUAGGCCCGGUUGGACGGUCUGCCUUUGGGUUUGUACUGUCCUGACUGGGCCUUACCUUCUGGUGAGCUGUCGUGUUGUUUACUCAGCGCGGCAGGGAACCAGGACUUUUACUUUGAAAAAAUUAGAGUGUUUAAAGCAGGCAUUCGCUUGAAUACAUUAGCAUGGAAUAAUAGAAUAGGACUUUGGUUCUAUUUUGUUGGUUUCUAGGACCGAAGUAAUGAUUAAUAGGGAUAGUUGGGGGCAUUAGUAUUUAAUUGUCAGAGGGGAAAUUCUUGGAUUUAUGAAAGACUAACUUCUG